rnacentral:rRNA from 1 species
GAUGAACGCUGGCGGCGUGCCUAAUACAUGCAAGUCGAGCGAACAGAUGAGGAGUUUGCUCCUCUGACGUUAGCGGCGGACGGGUGAGUAACACGUGGAUAACCUACCUAUAAGACUGGGAUAACUACGGGAAACCGGAGCUAAUACCGGAAAAUAUAUUGAACCGCAUGGUUCAAUAGUGAAAGACGGUUUUGUUGUCACUUAUAGAUGGAUCCGCGCCGCAUUAGCUAGUUGGUAAGGUAACGGCUUACCAAGGCAACGAUGCGUAGCCGACCUGAGAGGGUGAUCGGCCACACUGGAACUGAGACACGGUCCAGACUCCUACGGGAGGCAGCAGUAGGGAAUCUUCCGCAAUGGGCGAAAGCCUGACGGAGCAACGCCGCGUGAGUGAUGAAGGUCUUCGGAUCGUAAAACUCUGUUAUUAGGGAAGAACAAAUGUGUAAGUAACUAUGCACGUCUUGACGGUACCUAAUCAGAAAGCCACGGCUAACUACGUG